GACCGCUCCGUUGGCUUAGUGGUUAGAACGUCCGUCUCGGAUGCGGGAGGUCGUGCGUUUGAUCCCCGGCCGGGUCA